rnacentral:misc_RNA from 1 species
AGGGAAUCAUGAAUAUAUGGUAACAGACAUUAUAAAUUCCGUACAGUGGUCUCUGAAGUCUCCAUCUUUUGUGGGAAACCAAGAUUUAGAAUGGGGUCUGGAAGGAAAAAAGAGGAUGAAAGGGAAGGGUUUAGAAUGGUUCCAAAUCAUGAUGAUGAAGAGAAUAUAGAAAAAGGUGAUGUUGAUUUGGUUAAAUAUGAUCCUUAUGCGCCCCCAGAUGGAGGCUGGGGCUGGGUUGUUAUGAUUGCCAGUUUUAUUUGUAAUCUGGUUUUGGAUGGUAUUGCGUACACUUUCGGAAUCUUUCUUAUCCCGCUAAUGGAACAUUUUGGAGUUCAAAAGGGUCCUAUGUCGUUGGUUGGAAGUGUUCUUGCAGGAACUAUACAGUUAGUUGGUCCGUUUGUAGCUGUCCUUGUAAAUAAAUUUGGAACAAGAGUAGUUUGUAUCGCUGGAGCAGUUAUAUCAGCAACAGGAUUUUUUGCUUCAACUUUUGCAACAUCAGUACCGGUUCUGAUGCUGUUGUACAGUAUAGUAGCGGGUACAGGACUAGGAUUAAUGUAUGUACCAGCAGUUGUAGCUGUAGGAUACUACUUCGAGAAGAAACGAGCAUUUGCUACAGGGAUAUCUGUUUGUGGGUCUGGAGCUGGAACCUUUAUUCUAGCCCCCCUGGCAUCCCUUAUGUUGAGCUACUAUGGUUGGGAAGGCGCAACCAGGAUACUUGCCGGGUUGUGUUUACAAUGUGCUGUUUGCGGGGCAGUUAUGCGACCUUUGCCGCGAAGGAAGGAAAAAGUUGAAGAGGAGGAAGAGAAGGGAGAACCAGCUCCCUGUUUUCAGUCUGUAGUAAGUUCUGUGUUUGAUAGAAGAUUACUGACUAACAUACCCUUCCUUCUUCUUCUUCUGGCCAACCUAUUCUCUACUAUGGGUCUUUAUAUUCCAUACAUGUACCUUCCAUCACAGGCUGAAUCCAAGGGAAUCCCUGCAGUUGAUGCUUCCUUCCUCAUCUCUGUUGUUGGUAUCUGUAAUACACUGGGUAGAAUACUUUCAGGUUUACUUACUGACAUCCCUUGUGUUGACCCUAUGGUGGUGACAACUCUAGCUUUGACCUUCGGAGGUCUUUGCCCACUCCUCAUGGCGCUCUGUGUAGAAUACUGGUCAUUCCUUAUUAUAUCCGUCCUGUUCGGCACCUUCCUGUCGGCCUGGGUCGCUGUGACCUCCCCUGUCCUCGUGGAGCUGCUUGGCCUCGAACUUUUGACCUCCGCCUUUGGGACUCUCACCUUCGUCAGAGGUUGCGCAGCGCUCUUAGGCCCUCCCUUGGCUGGCUUUAUAGUGGAUGGUACAGGAGACUUAGAUAUAGCUUUCUACAUAUCAUCAGGUUUGCUAGUUGUCAGUGCAGUUGUUUCUUUGGCAUCAUAUCUCACAAUCAAAAGAAGUCAAUAAAAGAACGAAAUAAUUUAAAAUAAGAAACGUUAAGACCAAUUUUUUCAAAUAUACUGGAAUAUCAAUGUAUUAUGAAAAACACAGGAACUACAUGGUUAUCCACAUUGAACUGAAAUCCUAAAAAGUUGACGUUCCUAAUUUUAAUUUAGCCUCCCUCUUUGAAUAAAGCCUUUUAAUGGCUUACUCAAUAAUUUGGCAAAGAAAGAAUACAGUUUACAGUUUGCAGGAAAUCUUGAUUGGAAGUAAACAGACCGUAGUAUAAAUUCUGUAAGUCGUCUCUGAAGUCUCAUCCUUUGUGGGUAACCAUGUAUAACAUUUUUUCGUCAAAUACAACUUACUGCAGAGAGCAUUUCUCAAUCACAAACGUUUUUUUUUGAAUUUUUUAACAUUUUGAUGUCAUUUAAAUUCUAUUCUUGAUUUGGAACAAAAUGUUCGAGUUUCGAAAUACUUUUGAUUUGUUCGAUAUUACAAUCGAUAUGUUAGAGGUUUUUCUAACUAUAGUAUACACGUGCACUAACAAUCUUCAAAGUAUUUGAGACAACGUAAAUCUUUUUUAGAACAACUAAAAAGUUUGUAGAAAAAUUAACAUACCUCUCUAUUUACAAGAUAAAAUCUCAAAGAUUUUAGAAAUGUCGAACAAAA